ACCUACGGGGCGCAGCAGUAGGGAAUCUUCCACAAUGGGCGAAAGCCUGAUGGAGCAACGCCGCGUGGGUGAAGAAGGUCUUCGGAUCGUAAAACCCUGUUGUUAGAGAAGAAAGUGCGUGAGAGUAACUGUUCACGUUUCGACGGUAUCUAACCAGAAAGCCACGGCUAACUACGUGCCAGCAGCCGCGGAAAUACGUAGGUGGCAAGCGUUAUCCGGAUUUAUUGGGCGUAAAGGGAACGCAGGCGGUCUUUUAAGUCUGAUGUGAAAACCUUCGGCUUAACCGGAGUAGUGCAUUGGAAACG
rnacentral:rRNA from 1 species